GAGUGAAGAGGGAAGAGCUCAUCAUUGGAAUCUGGCAGUGUUGCACUGUCCGAGUUGUAGAUGAGGAGUAGUCCGUCUGGACUGCAUGGCGUCCAAGUACAAUAGGCCGUCAGUGGGACAUCAUAGAGGGUGACAAUCCCGUCCUUGACGCCAAUGUGCAAGUCUAUUACGAUGGCUAUCUCAGAGAGUCGAGCAGUUUGGGAUUUGCUGCUUAAACAUGGGAGGUAGAUUCCUUCUAAAGCUAAAUACAGGCGAGAGACCGAUAGAGAACAAGUACCGCAAGGGAAAGAUGAAAUAGCACUCUGUGAAGGGAGUCAAAAGGCGUGAAAUUGUUGCGAGAGAAGCGAUUCAAGUCAGCGUAGCUAGGCCCAUCAAGCGUCUUCGCUUUGGACUAGCUUUGCCAGCGGUCUUGUCCCUUCAAGAGACUUGACUUGUNAUAUGUCCAGCCUGGCGUGCACAGGCAGCCCCUUCUGGGGGCCAGUGGCAUGGCUGGUGGAAUGGCUUGCAAUCGACCCGUCUUGAAACACGGACCAAGGAGUCUAACAUGUAUGCGAGUAUAAGGGUGGCAAACCCGUAUGCGCAAUGAAAGUGAUUUUCGGUGAUUGAGAAUGGCCUGAUGACCAGACAAGCAAUAUAUGUCCCUCGUACGGCCAUUGCCCAAGUUCCGUGGUAGAUCCCACGAACAUGGAGUUGGAGCAUACAUGCUAGGACCCGAAAGAUGGUGAACUAUGCCUGGACAAAGCGAAGCCAAAGGAAACUCUGGUGGAGGCUUGUAGCGAUUCUGACGUGCAAAUCGAUCGUCUGAUCUGGGUAUAGGGGCGAAAGACUAAUC
rnacentral:rRNA from 1 species